GCCCGGUAGUUCAGUUGGUUAGAAUGCCAGCCUGUCACGCUGGAGGUCGAGGGUUCGAUUCCCUUCACUAGCUCCA
rnacentral:tRNA from 1 species